GAUGAACGCUGGCGGCGUGCCUAAUACAUGCAAGUCGAGCGAACAGACGAUGCGCUUGCUCCUCUCACGUUAGCGGCGGACGUGUGAGUAACACGUGUAUAACCUACCUAUCAGUCUGGUAUCUCUACGGGACUCCGGCGCUAAUACCGGAUAAUAUCUUGCACCACAUGGUUCAAUAGUGAAAGUCGGUUUUUCUGUCUCUUAUCGAUGGAUCCGCGCCGCAUUAGCUAGUUGGUAAGUUAACUGCUUACCAAGGCUACGAUGCGUAGCCGACCUGAGAGGGUGAUAGGCCACACUGGAGCGGAGCCACGGACAAGACGACUAAGGGAGGCAGCAGUAGGGAAUGGGCCGCAAUAGGCGGAAGCAUGACGGAGCAAGGCCGCGUGAGAGAUGAAGGUCUUCGGAUCGUAAAAAUCGGUUAUGAGGGAAGAACAAAUGUGUAAGUAAAUAUGCACGGCGUGACGGUAACUAAUCAGAAAGCCACGGCUAACUACGUG
rnacentral:rRNA from 1 species